AUUGAACGCUGGCGGCAGGCCUAACACAUGCAAGUCGAACGAGUGGCGGACGGGUGAGGAAUGUCUGGGAAACUGCCCGAUGGAGGGGGAUAAAUACUGGAAACGGUAGCUAAUACCGCAUACCAUCGGAUGUGCCCAGAUGGGAUUAGCUAGUAGGUGGGGUAACGGCUCACCUAGGCGACGAUCCCUAGCUGGUCUGAGAGGAUGACCAGCCACACUGAAACUGAGACACGGUCCGGCCUCCGACGGGCGGCAGCGUUGGUGAAUAUUGCACAAUGGGCGCAAGCCGAAUGCAGCCAUGCCGCGUGUAUGAAGAAGGCAUUCGGGUUGUAAAGUACUUUCAGCGAGGAGGCGUUACUCGCAGAAGAAGCACCGGCUAACUCCGUGCCAGCAGCCGCGGUAAUUC
rnacentral:rRNA from 1 species